UACACACCGCCCGUCACGUCAUGGGAGGUGAAUUGCACCAGAAGUAGCUAGUCUAACCUUCGGGAGGACGGUUACCACGGUGUGGUUCAUGACUGGGACG
rnacentral:rRNA from 1 species